UGGGGAAUAUUGCACAAUGGAGGGAACUCUGAUGCAGCGACGCCGCGUGAGUGAUGAAGGACUUCGUUUCGUAAAACUCUGUUCUAUGGGAAGAAAAGGACUGUACCAUAGGAGAAAGCUCCGGCUAAAUACGUGCCAGCAGCCGCGGUAAUACGUAUGGAGCGAGCGUUGUCCGGAAUUAUUGGGCGUAAAGGGUGCGCAGGCGGCUUUACAAGUUGGAUGUGAAAUAUUGUGGCUCAACCACGAACGUGCAUCCAAAACUGCAAAGCUUGAGUUAAGGAGAGGUAAGUGGAAUUCCUGGUGUAGAGGUGGAAUGCGUAGAUAUCAGGAGGAAUACCGGUGGCGAAGGCGACUUACUGGACUUAAACUGACGCUCAGGCACGAAAGCGUGGGGAGCAAACAGG
rnacentral:rRNA from 1 species